ACGGCUCAGUAACACGUGGACAACCUACCCUAUGGUGGGGGAUAACCCCGGGAAACUGGGGAUAAUACCCCAUAGACUAUGGAUGCUGGAAUGCUCUGUAGUUGAAAGGUCCGCCGCCAUAGGAUGGGUCUGCGGCCGAUUAGGUUGUUGUUGGGGUAACGGCCCAACAAGCCUGUAAUCGGUACGGGUUGUGGGAGCAAGAGCCCGGAGAUGGAUUCUGAGACGCGAAUCCAGGCCCUACGGGGCGCAGCAGGCGCGAAAACUUUACAAUGCGGGAAACCGUGAUAAGGGAACUCCGAGUGCCCGUAAAAUCGGGCUGUCCAUCUGUUUAAAUAACAGGUGAAGAAAGGGCCGGGCAAGACCGGUGCCAGCCGCCGCGGUAAUACCGGCGGCUCGAGUGGUGGCCACUAUUACUGGGCUUAAAGCGUUCGUAGCUGGUCUGUUAAGUCUCUGGGGAAAUCUACUGGCUUAACCAAUAGACGUUUCAGGGAUACUGGCAGACUAGGGACCGGGAGAGGUGAGAGGUACUCCAGGGGUAGGAGUGAAAUCCUGUAAUCCUUGGGGGACCACCUGUGGCGAAGGCGUCUCACCAGAACGGCUCCGACAGUGAGGGACGAAAGCUGGGGGAGCAAACCGGAUUAGAUACCCGGGUAGUCCCAGCCGUAAACGAUGCGCGUUAGGUGUAUCGGUGACCACGAGUCACCGAGGUGCCGAAGAGAAAUCGUGAAACGUGCCGCCUGGGAAGUACGGUCGCAAGGCUGAAACUUAAAGGAAUUGGCGGGGGAGCAC
rnacentral:rRNA from 1 species